rnacentral:rRNA from 1 species
UACGGAGGGGGCUAGCGUUGUUCGGAAUUACUGGGCGUAAAGCGCACGUAGGCGGCUUUGUAAGUUAGAGGUGAAAGCCCAGGGCUCAACCCUGGAAUUGCCUUUAAGACUGCAUCGCUAGAAUUGUGGAGAGGUAAGUGGAAUUCCGAGUGUAGAGGUGAAAUUCGUAGAUAUUCGGAAGAACCCAGUGGCGAAGGCGACUUACUGGACACAUAUUGACGCUGAGGUGCGAAAGCGUGGGGAGCAAACAGG